UGGGGAAUAUUGCACAAUGGGCGAAAGCCUGAUGCAGCAACGCCGCGUGAGUGAUGAAGGCCUUCGGGUUGUAAAGCUCUGUCUUUUGGGACGAUAAUGACGGUACCAAAGGAGGAAGCCACGGCUAACUACGUGCCAGCAGCCGCGGUAAUACGUAGGUGGCAAGCGUUGUCCGGAUUUACUGGGCGUAAAGGAUGCGUAGGCGGAUUUUUAAGUGAGAUGUGAAAACCCUAAGCUUAACUUGGGGACUGCAUUUCAUACUGGAAAUCUAGAGUGCGGGAGAGGAGAAUGGAAUUCCUAGUGUAGCGGUGAAAUGCAUAGAGAUUAGGAAGAACACCAGUGGCGAAGGCGAUUCUCUGGACCGUAACUGACGCUGAGGCAUGAAAGCGUGGGUAGCAAACAGGAUUAGAUACCCUGGUAGUCCACGCCGUAAACGAUGAGUACUAGGUGUAGGAGGUAUCGACCCCUUCUGUGCCGCAGUUAACACAAUAAGUACUCCGCCUGGGAAGUACGAUCGCAAGAUU
rnacentral:rRNA from 1 species